rnacentral:rRNA from 1 species
GACGUAGGGGGCGAGCGUUGUCCGGAUUUAUUGGGCGUAAAGAGCUCGUAGGCGGUCUGUCGCGUCUGCUGUGAAAACUCGGGGCUUAACCCCGGGCCUGCAGUGGGUACGGGCAGACUAGAGUGCGGUAGGGGAGACUGGAAUUCCUGGUGUAGCGGUGAAAUGCGCAGAUAUCAGGAGGAACACCGAUGGCGAAGGCAGGUCUCUGGGCAUUAACUGACGCUGAGGAGCGAAAGCAUGGGGAGCGAACAGG